UACCCAAUCCUGACACAGGGAGGUAGUGACAAUAAAUAUCAAUGUGGGUCUCUUUGAGACUUACAAUUGGAAUGAGAACAAUUUAAAAUCCUUAACGAGGAUCAAUUGGAGGGCAAGUCUGGUGCCAGCAGCCGCGGUAAUUCCAGCUCCAAUAGCGUAUAUUAAUGUUGUUGCAGUUAAAAAGCUCGUAGUCGAAUUUCUGGGACUUAAACUUAGUCAGUGGUUGCUUUAUGUAGCCGCUUGUACAUUGUUUCUAAGUCCCAUCUUAGUAGUGAUUGUACGUGGUAUUAAAUUAUCGUGUGCAGGAGCUGCUUCGUUUACUAUGAAGAAAUCAGCGCGUUCAAAGCAUACACUUAUUUGUAUUGAAUACUCCAGCAUGGAAUAAAAAGAUAGGACUUUUGGUGCUAUUUUAUUGGUUUGCACACCAAGUAAUGAUUAAUAGGGAUAGUUGGGGGUAUUCAUAUUUGAUUGUCAGAGGUGAAAUUCUUGGAUUUCUGAAAGAUGAACUUAUGCGAAAGCAUUUACCAAGGAUGUUUUCAUUGAUCAAGAACGAAAGUUAGGGGAUCGAAGAGGAUUAGAUACCCUCGUAGUCUUAACCAUAAACUAUGCCGACUCGGGAUCAGUGGUUGUUUGUUUAACGUCUCCAUUGGCACCGUAUGAGAAAUCAAAGUCUUUGGGUUCCGGGGGGAGUAUGGUCGCAAGGCUGAAACUUAAAGGAAUUGACGGAAGG
rnacentral:rRNA from 1 species